rnacentral:rRNA from 1 species
UACGGGGGGGGCAAGCGUUGUUCGGAAUUACUGGGCGUAAAGGGUUCGUAGGUGGCCCGCUAAGUCACACGUGAAAUCCCUCAGCUUAACUGGGGAACUGCGUCUGAUACUGGGUGGCUUGAGUGCAGGAGAGGAAUGCGGAAUUCCAGGUGUAGCGGUGAAAUGCGUAGAUAUCUGGAGGAACACCGGUGGCGAAGGCGGCAUUCUGGACUGUAACUGACACUGAGGAACGAAAGCCAGGGGAGCAAACGGG